rnacentral:rRNA from 1 species
UAAGAAUUUAAAAGUCGAACAGACUUAUAAUUAAGAAUACUACUUCUUAAAAUUUUCUUAAUUCAACAUCGAGGUCGCAAAAUAUAAUAUAGAUAUGAACUCCCCAUUAAAAUUACGCUGUUAUCCCUAAGGUAACUUAAUCUUAUUAUCCCCCGAGGGGAUCUAAAAUUACAUAAACAAAUGAAUACUUAAACUAAAGUUAAUUAUUUAGUUGCCACCCCAGCAAAAUAUAAAAUAAACAUUAAUAAAAAAAUUAUAAAAAUAAAACUUAAUAAAACAAAAUUAUAUAAAGUUCUAUAGGGUCUUAUCGUCCCAAUAAAUAAAUAAAGCAUUUUAACUUUAAAUUUAAAUUUUAACAUUUAAAAAAAUAAAACAUAAUUCUCAUACAUCCGUUCAUACAAGCUUUCAAUUAAAAAACUAAUUACUAUGCUACCUUUGCACAGUCAAAAUACUGCAGCCAUUUAGAAAUCAAACCAUAGGGCAGGAGAUACUUUUUAUAAAACCA